CCUACGGGUGACAGCAGUGAGGAAUAUUGGUCAAUGGGCGCGAGCCUGAACCAGCCAAGUAGCGUGAAGGAUGACUGCCCUACGGGUUGUAAACUUCUUUUAUAAAGGAAUAAAGUGAGGCACGUUUGCCUUUUUGUAUGUACUUUAUGAAUAAGGAUCGGCUAACUCCGUGCCAGCAGCCGCGGUAAUACGGCGGCUCCGAGCGUUAUCCGGAUUUAUUGGGUUUAAAGGUAGCGUAGAGGGGUUGUUAAGUCAGUUGUGAAAGUUUGCGGCUCAACCGUAAAAUGGCAAUUGAUACUGGCAGCAUUGAGUACAGUUGAGGUAGGCGGAAUUCGUGGUGUAGCGGUGAAAUGCUUAGAUAUCACGAAGAACGCAGAUUGCGAAGGCAGCAUACUAAACUGCCACUGACAUUGAUGCUCGAAAGUGUGGGUAUCAAACAGGAUUAGAGACCCCAGUAGUC
rnacentral:rRNA from 1 species